CCCUUAGAUGUUCUGGGCGGCCCGCGCACUACAAUGGCGCUUUCAGCGAGUUCCUAUGUUGAAUUUUCCUUGGUAUUCUUGGAAGCGGCGUCUUGACUUGGGAUAGAUCCUUGUAAUUGUUGGUUUUGAACGAGGAAUUCCUUGUAAUCGCGGUUGAUCAGCUCGCGUUGAUUACGUCCCUGCCCUUUGUACACACCGCCCGUCGCUACUACCGAUUGAACGGUUUAGUGAGGGCCUCGGAUUGGUCUCGGCCCGCUCUUUACCGGGCGGCGCCGUUGGUCGAGAAGACGCUCGAACUUGAUCGUUUAGAGGAAGUAAAAGUCGUAACA
rnacentral:rRNA from 1 species